UACGGAGGAUGCAAGCGUUAUCCGGAUUCAUUGGGUUUAAAGGGUGCGCAGGUGGAGAGAUAAGUCAGUGGUGAAAAACUGCCGCUCAACGGUAGUCUUGCCAUUGAUACUGUCUUUCUUGAGUAUGGAUGAGGUAGGCGGAAUGUGCAGUGUAGCGGUGAAAUGCAUAGAUAUUGCACGGAACACCAAUUGCGAAGGCAGCUUACUGGACCAUUACUGACGCUCAGGCACGAAAGCGUGGGGAUCAAA
rnacentral:rRNA from 1 species